rnacentral:rRNA from 1 species
UACAGAGGGUGCAAGCGUUAAUCGGAAUUACUGGGCGUAAAGCGUGCGUAGACGGUUACAUAAGUCAGAUGUGAAAGCCCCGGGCUCAACCUGGGAAUUGCGAUGGAGACUGCAAGGCUUGAAUCUGGCAGAGGGGGGUAGAAUUCCACGUGUAGCAGUGAAAUGCGUAGAGAUGUGGAGGAACACCGAUGGCGAAGGCAGCCCCCUGGGUCAAGAUUGACGCUCAUGCACGAAAGCGUGGGGAGCAAACAGG